CACUCAACAGAAGAAAAAGGGGCAAGGCUCGUUUCUGCAACUCCAAGCCUCCCCCCUCAGGUCUCCCAAAUGCCUUAAAAUUCCCAAUCCCGCCCCAAACACUUACCACUUGCUCGACGAAAUUCCUCAACCAAAAUCAAGCUAACCAUGGAGUCGAGCAUUUUGGAAUCCAUCGGAGUCGAGAUAAUAGGCGUGAUGUCUCCAGUUUCAAUUUGUAUGUUUUUGGUUGUUCUCAUUGUCUAUUCCCUCUCCCCAUCAAACCCUUUUUUGGUCGCUUCCUCAGCCCCGACGAUCCGCACCGCUGCCAACCUCGUCUACCUCGAGAGCCCUUCCGAUUCCGCUGCCCAGAAGCUGGAAGGCGCGCUACUCAAUGCGCUGGUGUUUGUUAUUCUCAUUGCCGUCUCUACUUUUCUUCUGGUUCUCUUAUACUAUUAUAAUUUUACAAACUUCUUGAAGAAUUACAUGCGCUUCUCGGCCUUUUUCGUGUUAGGUACAUUUCCUAAUUCACCUAUUUUUUGUAGCCCGCUAGCGUAAAUUGUUAUUUAAUUUUACAUAUGUUGCUUUUAGAAUUUUCUGUUCUGGAUUUCUUAUAGUUUUUUUGGCACAUUUUCUGAUGAUCAUUGAGCCGUUGACUGUAUUUUGUAGCUUUCUAAUUUUAGUGUUGCAUGUCUGUGUGUGCGUCAUUGAUUUACCUGCCAUUCGUUUAUGUAGUUCUGAUGCCUUCUGAUUUUCUUGAUCCGGGAUAUGUGAUUUUUGGGUCGGGUGCGUGGUCUGAUAUUUGCUUUGAUUAUUCUGAUUUUUUUGAGUAAAUAUUAUACUGCUACUGAAUUUCAUUUUCUUUGGUUUUGUUAUGACGUUAAACUGCAUGUGGUGUGGUUUUGCCUGAAAGACAUUAGCUCCAAGUCCCACUUUCUGUUGCUUCAUGACUUGCUUGACUAGGCUUAAUUUGUUCUUGGACUGAUGAUGGGCAUUUUCAUCUUAUUACUCCUUAUGGAGCCGUUUUCAUGACAAUUGAAUUAUAUAUUUUCGGGUUCUGCUGUCUUAUCCAAUUCAUGGCUGUAGGAACCUUUUUUUAAUGUUAGCUUGAUACUCUGGUCUGAUUGUCUUAUGCUAAUUCUGCCUUUUGCAUGCUCAUCGACUCAAUUUUGUGUAUGCUGUUGUUUUUUAGUACAUUUCAAUUGUGUAUAUGUUGUUGUUGGUUUAUAUGUGUGUGUAUCUGGCUAAUUUCAGUGUGCAUGGGCUUCAAUACAAGUUUCUGUUACUUCUACUUUCAUUGUUGGAUUUUUUGAGUAUUAUUUUACAAUUGGUGGUCAUUGUUUAGCAUUACUUUUAUGUUCAUUUUAACUUAGUCCUCUUGUUCUUUCCUAGGUACAAUGGGGGGCUCAAUUUUUUUGUCAUUGAUUCAGCAUUUCUCAAUUCCUGUUGAUUCAAUUACUUGUAUUAUUCUGUUAUUUAAUUUUACAAUUGUGGGUGUAUUAUCGGUGUUUGCGGGUGGGAUACCUAUUUUUCUUAGGCAAGGAUAUAUGGUAGCUUUAGGGAUAUUCGUGGCAGUUUGGUUUACCAAGUUACCAGAGUGGACUACAUGGGUUCUGCUGGUGGCAUUGGCAGUAUAUGAUUUGGUGGCAGUUUUGGCACCUGGUGGGCCACUUAAGCUGCUGGUGGAGUUGGCUCAGACUCGAGAUGAGGAACUUCCUGCACUGGUUUAUGAGGCUCGGCCAGCAGUUUCACAAAAUAUGAAUAAUCAUGGUCGGAGUUUGGACCUUUUGAUUGGUGGAGUUUCAGAUUCAGGGUUGGUGGAAAUGCAAGCAAUGUCAGAUCACAAUGUGAAUCGAAAUGAGAGUGAAAAUUUUGUGAACUCUGAAUAUUCUGCCAUUCCGGUGAGGAAUUUUGGGAAUAUGGAAGGUGUAGGAAAUAGAGAUGAUACAGAGAGGUCCCCAUUAGUUGGUUUUUCUCGGGGAAGGCAUUCUUCAAGUAGUGAAUCAUCGGAGUAUUCAACUGUGGUUGGUAAUCAGGGUUCUGAAACUGUUGUGGAUGAGGAAAGGUCUCCUCUUGUUGAUACACUGGGAUUGGGGAAUGGGAGGGAGCAGGUAAGAAGGGAUGCUUCUGAAAAUCCCAUGGUUGCCAUUAGAGGUAUAAAACUUGGUCUUGGAGAUUUUAUUUUCUACAGUGUUCUUGUGGGCAGGGCUGCAAUGUAUGAUCUUAUGACAGUAUAUGCAUGCUACCUUGCAAUUGUUUCGGGACUUGGCUGCACUCUGAUUUUGUUGUCAGUGUGCCGCCAAGCUUUACCAGCUCUCCCUAUUUCAAUAGCACUGGGUGUUGUCUUUUACUUCUUGACUCGUUUAUUGAUGGAACCUUUUAUUGUUGGGAUGGCAACAAAUCUGAUGAUGUUUUGAUCCUCUGUUAGUUGUAAGAGAGAGGAGGACAUUUUUAUGCUGUUAAAAGAAAUACUGAUGUCCUCAGAUGCAAAUUUUGUCUACGUUAUGGUUAGUAUUACUUACCAAAUAUCCUCUCACGUGCUCAUACAAGUUUCUCACGGUCAAAUUCUGUAAUUCGCUAAUGUAACAAUGUGAAGAUAAUCCUAGUGCAACUUGACUGCCCUCUUGGGUUUAGCUUUAUAGAAUUUCGAGCAUCUCGUGCUGAAGCAUAUUUCGAAUGCUUUGUUUGCAUACUUUCUUAUCGUGUUGAGAUGUUGAAAAAUACAAAUGUGGAAUUACAUUUUACAAAUUUCGAAUACCGUGCACCGUGUGUGGUCACAAACAGAUAUGCAGUUGUGUUUGCUUCUGUUAGUGCUCUAAACUGCUGUCAUACUCUAUAAAUUUGAUUUUAAGAUAUGUUUGUAUAGAUGAGAAUUUGAAAUGAAGGGUAGUUUGAAUUUGAUGGUAGUUUUGGUGCUUAUGAUUUAUACAUUUCUUUCAUUUAGAUUUUUUUUUUGUAAUUUGUAACUGCAAUUGCAUUACCGACGCCCAAAGGGCAAAAUACAUACAUUGGGCCUAAAAGAACAUGCAUAUGUAGGAAGAAGGGCCGAAGUUCAGCUCAAAAACAAAUCAAAUACAAAGAAAAGCCUAGCCCAAAAAUCCCACCCAGCAACCCUAGGAAGAAGAUGAACCGAGUUGCUGCUCCUUUACCUUCAACAAGCUGGACCACCACAAGGAAUGGGAGUCACCAACGUCUAAGAGUCUCAAAGACCCAAGCAUUAAAGGGGCAAUAGAUCCAACCACCUCCAGUAACAGACCUCUAAACUCCUCCAACUCAGAUCAGUAUGUCUGGUAGGAGAGUGAUGUUGUAGAGCUACUUAGCAAUCUCAAUAACGUGUAGGAGAGUGAUGCUGUAGAGCUCCUCAGCAAUCUCAAUCUCAUGUAGUCUUCGGGGAUCAUCUUCAUAAACCCUGGAGACACCGACAUCAAGCAUGCUGAUUUCCCUCUCACUAGGGCAAAGGUAGUUUUUAGAUCCAAGAACUAACAAAUACAACCAAAUCUUCGCAAACUCAACUUUGUUAGAAUAUUUGAUCUUCUGCAUGUUUCUCCCAUCUUGAAGCUCCAAGAUUAACAAGCCAAAAGCCCAAACCUACACUAUCAACAACCAACUCGAGAUGGGGAGGGAAGUCGACACCCUGUCGGAGCAAAAAGAGAGCCUUCCCCUUCCCUUUUGAAAUAGAAGAGUUGAGAGCAAAUUCUCUUCCUAGAAUUCUAGAGAGAAAUAGAUUAGAUGGUUCUCCCUUUACUGGUUAGAUUAUCUCAAAAUUUGGAAGCUUGUAUAGAUGCAUAGAUUCUUUGCAAUGUGUUGUCCUUGUUUGAUUGUGUACUAGAAUUUAUGGGUGGCUAUAAUAAUGAUAAGCAAACUCUUGCUUCUUGUUUAUAUUAUUAGUUUGUUGCUUGUAAUUUUAUAAUGGUGCAGUGGAUGGAACAUUUCUGCAAGCCAAAAAGGGUCUUCUGUUUUCACAUUGUUUGGAAUGGU
rnacentral:misc_RNA from 1 species